rnacentral:rRNA from 1 species
CACGUAGGCACCAAGCGUUGUCCGGAUUUAUUGGGCGUAAAGGAGCUCGUGAGGCGGUUCAGUAAGUCGGGUGUGAAAACUUUGGGCUUAACCCAAAGCGUGCAUCCGAUACUGCUGUGACUUGAGUUCGGUAGGGGAGCAGGGAAUUCCUAGUGUAGCGGUGAAAUGCGCAGAUAUUAGGAGGAACACCGGUGGCGAAGGCGCUGCUCUGGGCCGAAACUGACGCUGAGGAGCGAAAGCGUGGGUAGCAAACGAGGAAUUGA